rnacentral:rRNA from 1 species
AGCAUAACUAGUAUUGGAGGCACUGCCUGCCCAGUGACAACCAUUAAACGGCCGCGGUAUCCUGACCGUGCAAAGGUAGCAUAAUCACUUGUUCUCUAAAUAGGGACUUGUAUGAAUGGCCACACGAGGGUUUUACUGUCUCUUACUUCCAAUCAGUGAAAUUGACCUUCCCGUGAAGAGGCGGGAAUAUAUUAAUAAGACGAGAAGACCCUAUGGAGCUUUAACUACUUAGCCCAAAAGAAACAAAUUUCAUUACUAAGGAAACAACAAUACUCUUUAUGGACUAACAGCUUUGGUUGGGGUGACCUCGGAGAACAAGAAAUCCUCCGAGCGAUUUUAAAGACUAGACCUACAAGUCGAAUCACACAAUCGUUUAUUGAUCCAAAAAAUUGAUCAACGGAACAAGCUACCCUAGGGAUAACAGCGCAAUCCUAUUCAAGAGUUCAUAUCGACAAUAGGGU